CUGCCUUUGGUGUACAGAGCAUGUGUGUCUUCCAAACACAAGGUUUUCUCGAUUGGAAAAAGGUAGA
rnacentral:tRNA from 1 species